rnacentral:rRNA from 1 species
AGAACGAACGCUGGCGGCAGGCUUAACACAUGCAAGUCGAGCGAUCGCAGCAAUGCGGGAGCGGCAGACGGGUGAGUAACGCGUGGGAACGUACCCUCCGGUUCGGAAUAACUCAGGGAAACUUGAGCUAAUACCGGAUACGGUCGAGAGGCGAAAGAUUCAUCGCCGGAGGAUCGGCCCGCGUUCGAUUAGCUAGUUGGCGGGGUAAUGGCCCACCAAGGCGACGAUCGAUAGCUGGUCUGAGAGGAUGAUCAGCCACAUUGGGACUGAGACACGGCCCAAACUCCUACGGGAGGCAGCAGUGGGGAAUAUUGGACAAUGGGCGCAAGCCUGAUCCAGCCAUGCCGCGUGAGUGAUGACGGCCUUAGGGUUGUAAAGCUCUUUCGCUAGGGACGAUAAUGACGGUACCUAGACAAGAAGCCCCGGCUAACUUCGCGCCAGCAGCCGC